rnacentral:rRNA from 1 species
UGGGGAAUAUUGGGCAAUGGACGCAAGUCUGACCCAGCAACGCCGCGUGAAGGAAGAAGGCUUUCGGGUUGUAAACUUCUUUUAAGGGGGAAGAGCAGAAGACGGUACCCCUUGAAUAAGCCACGGCUAACUACGUGCCAGCAGCCGCGGUAAUACGUAGGUGGCAAGCGUUGUCCGGAUUUACUGGGUGUAAAGGGCGUGUAGGCGGGAUUGCAGGUCAGAUGUGAAAUACCGGGGCUUAACCCCGGAGCUGCAUUUGAAACCGCAGUUCUUGAGUAUCGGAGAGGCAGGCGGAAUUCCUAGUGUAGCGGUGAAAUGCGUAGAUAUUAGGAGGAACACCAGUGGCGAAGGCGGCCUGCUGGACGACAACUGACGCUGAGGCGCG